rnacentral:rRNA from 1 species
CCUACGGGCGGCAGCAGUGGGGAAUAUUGUACAAUGGGGGAAACCCUGAUGCAGCGACGCCGCGUGAGUGAAGAAGUAUUUCGGUACGUAAAGCUCUAUCAGCAGGGAAGAAAAUGACGGUACCUGACUAAGAAGCCCCGGCUAACUACGUGCCAGCAGCCGCGGUAAUACGUAGGGGGCAAGCGUUAUCCGGAUUUACUGGGUGUAAAGGGAGCGUAGACGGCAGCGCAAGUCUGGAGUGAAAUCCCAUGGCUUAACCAUGGAACUGCUUUGGAAACUGUGCAGCUAGAGUGCAGGAGAGGUAAGCGGAAUUCCUAGUGUAGCGGUGAAAUGCGUAGAUAUUAGGAGGAACACCAGUGGCGAAGGCGGCUUACUGGACUGUAACUGACGUUGAGGCUCGAAAGCGUGGGGAGCAAACAGGAUUAGAUACCCCUGUAGUC